rnacentral:rRNA from 1 species
GACGAACGCUGGCGGCGUGCUUAACACAUGCAAGUCGAGCGGUAAGGCCCUUUCGGGGUACGACGAGCGGCGAACGGGUGAGUAACACGUGGGUGACCUGCCCUCAGCUCUGGGAUAAGCCUGGGAAACCGGGUCUAAUACCGGAUAUGACUCCAUGACGCAUGUUGUGGGGUGGAAAGCCUUGUGCGGCUGAGGAUGGGCCCGCGGCCUAUCAGCUUGUUGGUGGGGUGAUGGCCUACCAAGGCGACGACGGGUAGCCGGCCUGAGAGGGCGACCGGCCACACUGGGACUGAGACACGGCCCAGACUCCUACGGGAGGCAGCAGUGGGGAAUCUUGCGCAAUGGGCGAAAGCCUGACGCAGCGACGCCGCGUGAGGGAUGACGCC